CCGGGACAGAAAUGGACGUGCAGUGGUGAUAAUCAGUACAAGGAACACAGCCUGGCUAAACCCUAAUUGUACAUCUGCAGAGCUGGGGCGCCUAUUCCUGUAUUUCUACAGCAUUCCAAAGAAGGAACGCCGUGCAUUAGGGCUGACUCUGCUUGUGGAUGCGCGCCGAUGCUCUCCGGUUCCUGCCUUGUUUAAAGCCUUUCAUAUCGUGCAGGCUGCUGUACCCAACUGCAUCCAUGGAGUUUUGCUGUUGGUGGAAAAAGAUCUGGUGUUAUCAGGGGAGAAGCUUCACGGAGUGCAG